rnacentral:rRNA from 1 species
UACAGAGGUCCCGAGCGUUGUUCGGAUUCACUGGGCGUAAAGGGUGCGUAGGCGGUCGGAUAAGUUUGAUGUGAAAUCUCCGGGCUUAACCCGGAAACUGCAUUGAAUACUAUUCGGCUUGAGGUCUGGAGGGGGGACUGGAAUUCUCGGUGUAGCAGUGAAAUGCGUAGAGAUCAUGAGGAAGACCAGUGGCGAAGGCGGGUCUCUGGACAGUUCCUGACACUGAGGCACGAAGGCCAGGGGAGCAAACGGG